rfam:Myotis brandtii contig269376, whole genome shotgun sequence.
GAUGAUUCUCAGAUGAUGCACCCCAGAAUCAGGCUCCCUCCUCUCUGGUUCUGAGUGCACCACCCGAGAACCGCA